UAUUUCUGUAUUAUAAAUCCUUUUUUUGAUUGGUCUUAUGUCAUAUUCUAAUAUUUUGAGAUGAAUAUUUCACUUCAUGUGUAAUGAAUCUAGAAUAUAUAAAUGACGGAAUCUUUUUUUUUUUUUUUUUCACGAUAUUCACAUUUUUUUAGAUGUAUAUGCACCUGUAUAUCAGAAUGACUGACAGUAAAACUAGAGUUGCGUUUGAAAACCAAUACAUAUAUUUUGAUAAAUUUGUUUUACCCCAUACAAUCUAUUCUUGGAAUGUAAGAUGAUAUACUUGAAUGACACUUUUGGUUUUGGAGUGAACACAUUUUAUUAGUAAGCGGAACUUAUUUUUUCUCAAAUAAUAGUGAUUCCGGGGCAAUCAGGGGCACUUGUAUGCAGCGAACCACCCCACCAAGUCCCUCCCCACACCCUCAUGUGCCGGCCAUACUCGCAUCUGGCAGGACCAGGGCAUGUGCCGGGGGACCAGGGUGUGCCAUGUGCCACUGCAUCAAACAAAAUCCCCAAGAAGAGGACGGAAAGCACCUGAACAUGGUCUGGAAUUGGACAGGAACAGCAUGUGGAUCUUAUACCUUCUGGCUCCAGUACGCUGCAGAAACUCAGAAGGAGGUGUCUGGGCAGUUGGAACUAUUUCUAUAUGGUCUACGGUUGGAACAGACUCGUGAGCCUCACCAAAGAAAUCGGCUCGGCCUUUGAAGAUGGCAGAUCUUCUAACAAAACAAUAAAUGUAAAUUUAAUGUAAAGAGAGGUUAGCCAUAGCAACAAAAGCCUAAGCUUUGACUUGUACGCCCUAUUUAUUACUAGUUUUUGUGUUUUAUGGAAUUUAUAUUCAAGUCCAAUUCAGCAUUAAUUAAUCAUGAUUACCCAAAUUAAAUAUCGGCAUCAUUUUAAUGUGGAAUCCAGUUGCAUUUUUUAUAUGAUAUGAAUAAUUUUCAUUUUCAGUUGGCUAAUUAAAAUAAUUUGUAAAAAUUAUUAAAAUAAUAUAUGAAUUAAUACAGCUAUACAGCAAGGGGUAUUCACCUUGGGAACAGUGUAUGCUGGGUGCACAACUGCUGGACGCACUAAGCUGUGAGACCUUUGCCACUUCCUCCAGAAGAAAGAGCGGCAUGGCUCAGCCUGGCCUCCCCAGGGUGGGCGUACCCUGCUACCAGUCUGGAGCAACGCAGCACAACCUGCAGCACAAAUGAGAGGAGGGUGGGAUACUUGUGUUCAUACAUAUACUGUUCUUACCAACAGACCCCAUGCCCAAACAGUCUACUGUUUUGCAUUAUACCAUUCAACCCCAGGGGAACCCCCAGGAGGCAGCCCAAGCUAACACAAUACUUAUUUCAUUCCAAAAUAGGAUAAUAAAUGUAUUAAAUGUA